UUCCUCUGCACAGGUUUUGAUAAAUCUCCCCCAUUGUUUUUCUCAACUAUCAUUUAUACAGGUUAAUGCAAGGACAGAUAAUAUGGUGUAGAAUUCAGUAUAGACCAACUACAGUAUACAUCACAGUGAUGUCUAGUGGUACGCCCCCUGCAUCUGAGAGCUUUGGCUCUCGCUCCCCGCACCUCCAGCUAUUGACUUGCCGUCUGCUGUAUGAACACUUGGAAUAAAGCAUCGUUUGGCAAAUACUUCUCAGUGGGGUGAACUUCUGAGGAGAGAGAAAGAGAAAAGCACUGAAUUAAGGGGACUAUGUUCAAUGACUUCAUUAGACCGGUGAAAGAAUCUGUAAAGGCUGCUGUACAAAGACUGCCUGAGGUUCUCCUCUUGCUGUCUUCCAGUUCGUUGUUGAUCUCCCAACCAUUGAAACAUGCAACGUUGAACAGUGCUGCUAACUCGUCCAAUGCACAUUGCGAUCUACUGAUGUGAUAAACCAAGAUCUCUUAACUCAAGGAUUCUGGAACUCCUAGAUUGUGACAAGUUGUGAUAACCGGCAAGUCAACGAACAGAGGACAU